rnacentral:rRNA from 1 species
UAGAUGCGAGAGUAGAGCAUAUCAAUAAGCGGAGGAAAAGAAACUAACAAGGAUUCCCUAGUAACGGCGAGUGAAGCGGGAAGAGCUCAAAUUUGAAAUCUUCAAGGUUUGACCUUGACGAAUUGUAGUUUAUAGAAGUGUUUUCUGUUAGUAGGAGUAGUAAAAGUUCUUUGGAAUAGGACAUCAUAGAGGGUGAGAAUCCCGUAUUUGACUAUUCUUUCUAGCUGUGUGAUACACUUUCAAAGAGUCGGAUUGUUUGGGAAUGCAGUCCAAAAUGGGUGGUAAAUUUCAUCUAAAGCUAAAUAUUGGCGAGAGACCGAUAGCGAACAAGUACCGUGAGGGAAAGAUGAAAAGAACUUUGAAAAGAGAGUUAAACAGUACGUGAAAUUGUCAAAAGGGAAGCGUUUGACACCAGUGUUGUUUUUCCGAAAAUCAAUUACGAAUGUUUUAUUUUUGAGGAGUUAUGACUUCAUCGGCUUGCUCCUUUCUUUAUGAAACUUUCUUAAUGCACUUUUCGGUUAACAAGUCAACAUCAAUUUCUUUUGUUGUAAAAGGGUAUGAGGAAGGUGGCUUUCUUUUCGGAGAAAGUGUUUAUAGCCUUGUGCCUCUGCAAUCGGAGAGAUUGAGGUCUGCAGCGUAGAUCCUUCGGGGUUAGAUACGUUUGUGCUAAGUUAUAGCUUUUCAUAGACAACUUGUUGACUAUGUUUAGUCUUGUAGCUUACUCGCUAUACGCUAUUUUACCUACGCUUAGGAUGUUGACACACGCGCGUGCUCG